CUGAUUCGAAGAACAAUAAAGAAAAGACAAUUGACUCAACAAAAGAAAUUAAAAAGUGAUAUAACCUUGGAUUGGAGCCAAACUCUAAUACCAGCUGAUGUGAACUUCCAUAGGCAAACACUAUGGAACCCAUGAACAAGAUAGAAGUCUUUCCAAAAAAACCAAAGUAAGGUUUUGGAUUUGAAUUCAAUAAAUUUGGAACUGAGCAACCCGAAUCGCCGACGAUGUGUGGACCUCUUGACUACACAAAAUUAUGGAAUCUCAC
rnacentral:lncRNA from 1 species